rnacentral:rRNA from 1 species
GUGGGAACGUACCCUUCACUACGGAAUAGCUUCUGGAAACGGAAGGUAAUACCGUAUACGCCCUCCGGGGGAAAGAUUUAUCGGUGAAGGAUCGGCCCGCGUUAGAUUAGUUUGUUGGUGGGGUAAUGGCCUACCAAGACUACGAUCUAUAGCUGGUCUGAGAGGAUGAUCAGCCACACUGGGACUGAGACACGGCCCAGACUCCUACGGGAGGCAGCAGUGGGGAAUCUUGCACAAUGGGCGAAAGCCUGAUGCAGCCAUGCCGCGUGAAUGAUGAAGGCCUUAGGGUUGUAAAAUUCUUUCGCCAGGGAUGAUAAUGACAGUACCUGGUAAAGAAGCCCCGGCUAACUUCGUGCCAGCAGCCGCGGUAAUACGAAGGGGGCUAGCGUUGUUCGGAAUUACUGGGCGUAAAGCGCGCGUAGGCGGGCUAUUAAGCCAGAUGUGAAAGCCCGGGGCUCAACCUCGGAAUUGCAUUUGGAACUGGUAGCCUAGAGACCAGGAGAGGUUAGCGGAAUACCGAGUGUAGAGGUGAAAUUCGUAGAUAUUCGGUGGAACACCAGUGGCGAAGGCGGCUAACUGGACUGGUACUGACGCUGAGGCGCGAAAGUGUGGGGAGCAAACAGGAUUAGAUACCCUGGUAGUCCACACCGUAAACGAUGAAUGCUAGUUGUCUGCGCGCAU